rnacentral:rRNA from 1 species
AUGGAAUAAUAGAAUAGGACGUGUGGUUCUAUUUUGUUGGUUUCUAGGACCGCCGUAAUGAUUAAUAGGGAUAGUCGGGGGCAUCAGUAUUCAAUUGUCAGAGGUGAAAUUCUUGGAUUUAUUGAAGACUAACUACUGCGAAAGCAUUUGCCAAGGAUGUUUUCAUUAAUCAGUGAACGAAAGUUAGGGGAUCGAAGACGAUCAGAUACCGUCGUAGUCUUAACCAUAAACUAUGCCGACUAGGGAUCGGGCGAUGUUA